rnacentral:lncRNA from 1 species
GGGGUAGGUAUAGAUCAUAUAUAGAUGUGAUUAGUGGGAAAGGCUUAUCUUAGUCCUUAGAGGGUGCAUUUAAAAAAGUUUAUUUAUUCAUGUCUGUACGCAAGGAUGACGCCAUUUCCUAGAAGGUAGAAGUGAGUGAUACAUAAAUAAAAUGAUAGAAAUAAAUGUAUGGAUAAAGUUAUAGCUGUAAGAUAUACUAUCGGUAA